rnacentral:snRNA from 2 species
AUACCUUUCUCGGCCUUUUGGCUAAGAUCAAGUGUAGUAUCUGUUCUUAUCAGUUUAAUAUCUGAUAUGUGGGCCAUGUGUCCACAACGAUAUUAAAUUUAUUUUUUAUGGGGGAGGGACCACCACAGUGGCUUGCCGUUGGGUCCUUCAGGUGUCGCCCAGUGCGUUGCACUAUUGCCUGGGCAGGCGCACCCCAA